rnacentral:sRNA from 1 species
UCAACACUACAACACGACGGCGCGGUAAUUUG